rnacentral:rRNA from 1 species
UACGUAGGGGGCAAGCGUUGUCCGGAAUCAUUGGGCGUAAAGCGCGUGUAGGCGGCUAGGUAAGUCUGCUCUGAAAGCCCGGGGCUCAACCCCGGGAGGCGGGUGGAUACUGCCUAGCUCGAGUCCGGAAGAGGAGUGUGGAAUUCCUGGUGUAGCGGUGAAAUGCGCAGAUAUCAGGAGGAACACCGGUGGCGAAGGCGGAUCUCUGGGCCAUUACUGACGCUGAGGAGCGAAAGCGUGGGGAGCGAACGGG